GAUGGGGAAAGCCAGAGGAAAGCAGGUGUGGCCUUCUGCCCCAGGAUCCUCACCUCCUCUCAGACCACUUUUCACUAGAGCCAUCGCUGUGGUGAGCAGCCAGCGCUGUAGGAGCGGGACCAAGCUGGCGGCCCACGCCGGUUUCCCAUCUGCCCUCUGGGCUCUACACCCGCGCAUGCGCAGCCUGCGAAGGUCCAGGUCCGGCUGUUAGCCCUGAGGGGCGAUUCCUGAGUCCCAGGGAGAUGGGUUAGAGCUUAAACGCCCGGAGUUCUACGGCUCUGUCGGUAAAAUCAUACAAAUAUGAGUAUGUGCUUAUGACAGAUGAAAGAGGGAUAGUCACCAGUAUGCUAAUGAUCAUCAUCUCUGGAAUGUGGGAUUUCAGUCCUCAUUCGGUGCCUCCAAACCAAGAUGUUCACCUAUAUCUCAGGCAAGAUGGAACUCUGCCUUAAUAAAUUAAUGAUUACUCAAGAAUAGAGGACAUGUUUUACCUUUCAAAAAAAAAUCUUCUAGUGAAUGAAAUAUACUCUAUACCAAUUUUAGCCAAAUCACCAGGAUUUUCAGCAGUUCUAUACUUCUGUGGCCCUUAGAUAACGGCCAAUAGAUAUGUUAUGCAAGAGACUCAUCUUGGAAGUUCCCUGAUGAUGAAGUUUAUAAUACUUGCUUCUCAACAAAAAUCAGUGAGUCAGUUGAUGAUCUCAUCACUGUGUCUGUGACUUUCAAACCAGAGAUUCUGCUGUGGGACUUCUCUCUCGACAAGAUGCUGUUUCAAAAUUGAUUAGUUCUCCAACCCGCCCACUGAAAUCAUCCAACCUAUUGAAGAAGCAGAAUGGGAUGUGGAUUAUAGGGUUUCAGAUAACACCAAGUCCCUUGUGAAAGGCACUGAUGAUACAAAAAUGACACAGACAAAAAUCUCUGCACCCAUGGAACUUACAUUCUUUUACAGGAGACACGGUAAGCAAGCUUUCCCAUUUCUAACAUGUCAAUGGAAAAACAUCACCAUGGAAGACUCGCUCUUUAAGGAACCCUGUUAUUAACUAAAUCCUUGGAUAUCAUAAAGAGCUGCAAGGUUACUGCAAUCCAUUUUAGCUCUUAAAAACUUUUGAAACAUGCUGUUAAAUGUGUGAGGAAUCAUAUGGCUAUUCAACAAAAAGGAACUCCUGGGACAUAGGUGGUAUCUCUUUCCUAAGGAAUUGAGAGGCUAGAAUAUCAUAAACUGGCAACAUAUGGCAGCCCCACAGUCCCUCCAAAAGUAAUGUUGUUCUGCCUUUUUCUAACUGUACACUCCUAGCUUAUCUCCUUUCUGCUUCUUUCCACCAACAUCUGCUAUGACCCAUUCUUAGCCUCAGAAAUAUUUAGAAACUUUAGUUUCCUUUGAAGAUGGUAAGAAUGGUUAAAGAAGCAAUAAUCACAUUGUACAAUCAAGCAGUAGGAAGGGAAAACAAGCAAGAAUGAAUACCUCCCCUUGCUCUCCCUUUGCAAAUAAUCUGGAAAAACUAAUCCAAAUGCUAGUGAAGUUUAAGAGUAUUAUGUGAAAUUAAUGACCAAGAAAGCAAUGAUCAAAACUGAUUUAAUCCAAUCACUUAAAACAGCUACAAUUUUUCAACCCCUGUAUUUGAAUGUGUAAAAAUUAUAACUUUAUUAAUUUCUUCUGUAACACCUCACUUUAUGUUCAGACACACUCCUCCAGUAAUAUGGUAGAAUGGGCUUGUACAAACACAAAACCUGGAUUAUUUUCAUCUCUCAGGUUCAUACUUUGUGACAUCAGGUUGGUAGUUUGAAAUUGGCUGUGGUAGGAGUACUUACUCCAUGGAAAUCAUCAAAUAUUAUAAAUUUGAAUUUUUUUGUGUUUCAUUUUGUUGCAGGACAACCAGCUAUUAAACAUUUACCAGUAUACUACUGCUCUCUCCAUGACAGAAAUGUAAUCCUAGGCAGUUACAGAUAAACUUUCCCUUCCUCCUCUUUCCCCUAGAGGAACGUCUACAAUCUAAGGUGCUUCUGUAUUAUCCAUGCAUCUGGGGAAGAGCUCUCAUCAUCACCUAGCAUCUGUCUACCAUGACAUCCUCUGGGAUGUUCAUAUAAUACAUCUAGUCCUCAGUUAUCAUCUCCUUCCAUGGUGACAACCAUCAAUGACAUACCACUACUCCUGAAUUGUGUGCUCCAAUCUGCCUUCCACUAUAGCAUCUCUUUGUUACUAUUGUGAAGUCUCUGGGUUUGCCUACUCUCCCUUGACUGACUUCUGCAUACCUCCCUCAGGGACCAGGAAAAUGUGCAAUACCAGCAGGUUACUCUUGGUCUGGGAAAUGCAAGUUUUGGUGGAUUAUCUCAGACUCUUUUCAGGCCCGACAUAAUCUUGUCAUCAUAGGCAUUCUGUUGCUGCUAUACCACACCAGGAGUAUAAGGAAUUCCAGGCCUUGUCAUUUGCUGAGACACUUCCUAGAAGAUAAGACAUGCAUCUUCAUUGCUCAGGUUGCAAGAGAUUCUGAUUCAGGAAGUUCCAUUUGUGGCCCAGGAAUCUAAUCUUUAUUUACCACUUUCCAACCAACACCAUUCCUGACACAGGUCAUGAUCUUAUGGUUCAUGGGCUCGAGCCCUGCAUCUGGCUGUGUACUGACAGAGUGAAACCUGCUUGGGAUUGUCUCUCUCCCUCUUUUUCUGCCCCUCCCCAGCUCCCUCUGACUCUCUCUGAAAAUAAAUAAAUAAACUUAAUUAUAAAACUUAAAUUUAAAAAAAGAGUAUUUCAUUCUUUAAGUUGUAGUCAUAGAAUUAACCUGACUUUCCUUGAACAAUGAAAAUGUUGCCAGGAAGAAAUGAUGCAAUCUGAGGUAGUGGAAAGUAUAGGGACUUUGUGACAGGGCACCAGAAUUAGAAUUCGUCCAUUCCCUCCACCCCUGCCACUUGCUGUGUGACCAUGGAUAAAUAAUUUAGUCUGAGUUUGUUUCUUUGUGUGUUAAUUGAAGCUAUAAAAAUAAUACCUGUAGUAGAAAAUUUUUGUGAGGAUUAAAGGAAAUAAUCUAGUUGAAUGCCUUUUGGAAAUCGAAAGGAUUACAGAAAUAUUAUUAUUAUUAUUAUUAUUAUUACUGCUUUUAUUAUCAUUUGCUGAACUAGGUAUUGUUACAUCAGGUGAAUAAAUUUAAGUUUGCUUAGAAGUAAAUGAUUCCUAUAAAAUAUAUGCUUGGUCUCCCUUCAGGCGUACUAAACUUCAGCUCUGUAAUAUAAGCAUUUAACUGUCUUUUCCACAUAAAACUUAUUUGUGACUCACACAGAUUCCUUUG